rnacentral:lncRNA from 1 species
ACUAACAUACUUUUUGUUUGAGUUAAAUAUGAUUUUAGCAAGCUUUCCAUGCAAAGAAUUGAAAUAUCUAGCCAAGGGUUGCAACGCUAAAGAAUAAGGGUGCCAAACGAUAUUAACUAGUUGUCAUACCUCAAUUUUAUAUGGGCAUUUCAAAACUUCCAUGCAUCUGUUUUUAUUUUACUUUGCAUCACCUGCAUAGCAU